AUUCCAAUCGAACGCGGAGAUAGCUGGUUCUCCCCGAAAUAGCUUUAGGGCUAGCCUCAAGUAGUAAGUAUAGGCGGUAGAGCACUGAUCGGGCUAGGGGCCAUAAAGGUUACCGAACCCUGUCAAACUCCGAAUGGUUAUACUGUAGAGCUUGGGAGUCAGACUACGAGUGAUAAGAUCCGUGGUCAAAAGGGAAACAGCCCAGACCACCAGCUAAGGUCCCCAAUGUCGUACUAAGUGGAAAAGGAUGUGGGGUCUCUAAAACAACCAGGAUGUUGGCUUAGAAGCAGCCACCAUUUAAAGAGUGCGUAAUAGCUCACUGGUCGAGAGACCCUGCGCCGAAGAUUACCGGGGCUAAAGUACGAAACCGAAGCUGUGGCUACGACGUAAGUCGUGGGGUAGGGGAGCGUUCUGUGAGGGCUGAAGUCGUUCUGUAAGGAACGGUGGACUUCACAGAAGUGAGAAUGUUGGUAUGAGUAGCGAAAAGAAUGGUGAGAAUCCAUUCCACCGAAAGCAUAAGGAUUCCUGGGCAACGAUCGUCGUCCCAGGGUAAGUCGGGACCUAAUCCGAGGCAUGGAGCGUAGGAGAUGGACAACUGGCAGAUAUUCCAGUACCGGUAAUGAUUGUUUGAGCGAUGGAGUGACACAGGAGGGCAGGCAGGCAGGAGAUUGGUUGUUCCUGUACAAGCGUGUAGGGUGGAACGUAGGCAAAUCCGCGUUCUGAGAGCCUGAGGCGUGAUGUGGAGGUUCCGGAAACGGAACUGAAGCUGCUGACCCCACACUGUCGAGAAAAGCUUCUAGUUAGAGAAUUACCGCCCGUACCGUAAACCGACACAGGUAUGCGGGGAGAGAAUCCUAAGGUGCGCGGGAGAACCCUCGUUAAGGAACUCGGCAAAAUGUACCCGUAACUUCGGGAUAAGGGUAGCCGCUGUUGUGAAGUCUGCACAGACGGAGCAUGAGGCGGUCGCAGAGAAGAGGCCCAAGCGACUGUUUACCACAAACACAGGUGCCUGCUAAAGAGAAAUCUGACGUAUAGGUGCUGACACCUGCCCAGUGCCGGAAGGUUAAGGAAGGAUGUCCGGAGCAAUCCAAAGCAUUCGACCGAAGCCCCGGUGAACGGCGGCCGUAACUAUAACGGUCCUAAGGUAGCGAAAUUCCUUGUCGGGUAAGUUCCGACCCGCACGAAAGGUGUAACGAUUUGGGCACUGUCUCAACGAGGGACCCGGUGAAAUUGAAGUACCUGUGAAGAUGCAGGUUACCCGCGACUGGACAGAAAGACCCCAUGGAGCUUUACUGUAACCUGACAUUGGGUUCUGAUACAUCACGUACAGGAUAGGUGGGAGGCAUGGAAGCGAGGACGCUAGUCUUCGUGGAGCCGCCGUUGGGAUACCACCCUUGAUGUAUCGGAAUUCUAACCGUAGGAGUAACGAAACUCGGGACAGUGUCAGGCGGGCAGUUUGACUGGGGCGGUCGCCUCCCAAAGAGUAACGGAGGCGCCCAAAGGUUCCCUCAGCGCGGCCGGAAAUCGCGCGAAGAGUGUAAAGGCAGAAGGGAGCUUGACUGAGAGCCAAACACGGCGAUCAGGUACGAAAGUAGGGCUUAGUGAUCCGGUGGCAUCCAAGUGGAAGGGCCAUCGCUCAACGGAUAAAAGCUACCCUGGGGAUAACAGGCUAAUCUCUCCCAAGAGUCCAUAUCGACGGGGAGGUUUGGCACCUCGAUGUCGGCUCAUCACAUCCUGGGGCUGAAGUCGGUCCCAAGGGUUGGGCUGUUCGCCCAUUAAAGUGGUACGUGAGCUGGGUUCAGAACGUCGUGAGACAGUUCGGUCCCUAUCCAUCGCGGGCGCAAGAGAUUUGAAGGGGGCUGCUCCUAGUACGAGAGGACCGGAGUGGACGAACCAAUGGUGUACCAAUUAUCUCGCCAGAGGUAUAGUUGGGUAGCUACGUUCGGAAAGGAUAAACGCUGAAAGCAUCUAAGCGUGAAACCAGCCUUAAGAUGAGAUCUCUCAUAGAGUAAUCUAGUAAGACACCUUGGAGAAGACGAGGUUGAUAGGUCGGGAGUGUAAGUACAGUAAUGUAUUCAGCGGACCGAUACUAAUAUGUCGAGGGCUUGACUUA
rnacentral:rRNA from 1 species